UGGAUCCCAAAUUAGUGCUAAAAGAUACAUUCAUUACCAGUAGCCUACACAUGUCCAACACAACACUGUGGCGCGCUACGAUUAUGGUUCUGGUGGAAUCGCUAUCAAGAAGAAAAGCAGUCGAAUGCUUCUUUUCCUGCUGCCAUCAUAUUGAAAUUGGGCAUGGGAGUCCGGUCAAGACGCAUGUCAACCAGUGCACGAGCAAUCCACUUGCGCUCAAUUAGAAUCUGGCGUCGGAGAAGAGACACCACAAUUUUAUUUGUCGUACAAGUUCUCCCUAAGGGGAUGUGGCGAGUUUGGCAACCAUACCGCCAUGCUGCAAACUGUUUGUUGCUACGUUGUUCCGGUUUGCUUCCGGAGUAGAAGAGAAAUUCAUCCGAGUUUUCGAAUCACCUCACAAUUUUCUAGAGAACUUUGCCCGGAUCUGUCGUAUGGAUCAGCCAAUUCGAGAACUGCAGAGUGCUCCUCAGGGAACUCCUGUUCGAACCUUAGGUUUAUUCCUAUGGGCCGGCGUAUUCUUAUCACCAAAGAUGAAACAUAUUUUAGUUUUACAGCGGCCAGCGGUUCUUCUGCAUUGGAACAACAGCUGAUACGUACCAAUACAUUUCGGAUAAAACAUUGGGCAGUGUGUAUGCUGUUUGUUCAAAACCAUCUCUGGAUCUUCUACUAUUCUACAUAAUGUGUGGAAGGCCUGCUGUCAUCUCAUCAAGGGAUAAAAUGGUCCAAUCCGGUUAGCUAAGCUGUGUCUUCAAAAACUAAGGAAAUCCUAUUUACAAGAGUGAACAGAGAGCAAUCUGUCAGUGUCGAUAUUUGUCUGCUUAAAUCAAACAGACACCUACACACCACAGCCCGCAGUAUUUUGUAUUGCGUUUGUGUCCUUGAAUUUUCCUCGUUCUCAAACGUAUAAUCAGCCUUCCGGUACCUUGCUAACCGCAAGAAGCUGACAAUCCAAUCCAGCCGUUCCGUCCAGUCGUUGGUGGAUGUGCUAAGGAAUCUUGGCUCUCAUACGUGACUAAAAUGAUGUUCUCUAGAUGGCGCGCGUGUCUUCAUUCGAGAUGAAAAUUCCGCUCCGCCAUUUUUCCCGAGACACUGAUCGAAAAUGUCUCGUUACGUUACUUAUUUACGGUGUACUUUACAUUUUUCGUCAUAACUCAUAAAAAUGGUAAUAUAGCCUGAUGUCCUGAAAUUUCUGGGCAUUUUGCCAAAAUGUGUCUUGCUAGUUCCUAGUUUGCUACCUGCUGUACGUCUCAUCCCAUAAGAUACACAUCACAGCAACUGAAGUUUAACAGCAGAAUCAAGUCAAAACUUCUUCUACUUCUGUCUACAUGUACAUGGUUUUGUUUCAGCCAGCUGGUGAAAGUCGUAAUCUUGUAAAGUUGUGCUGUUGCAUGCAGUGGAUGUGUGCAUGCUACUGGUGAUACCCUUGGGAUUUUUUAAUGCUUCAUAACUGGAACGUGAUUUGAUUUGUUGCAGCCAACUGAUGAAACAAUUCAUGGUUGCUGAAGGAAGUAUGAUUGACGGCGAUCGUCCACGGCCAGUUUUAGUGAUGGUUACUUUGGUGUUGCUGCAGACGAUCUGUGCUGAUACACCGCAGAUAAAGACCACGAAGAUCGAGAAAGCGGAAGGCCUUAGACUACGUCAAAAUAAGAACGCUUAGCACUCGGGAUUACGAAGAAAUACGACAGUUGCAGUUCCAUACUAAGAGCUCCCUGCAUUACGAUUACGAAGAGCUUCGUUGCUGUCUGACAUGCACAUGGUUUUGUUGCAGCCAGCUGGUGAAAGACACAUCUUUAUAGAGCCCAUGAAUCGACAGCGCAAUUUACUCCUGACCAUUCUAAAAAUUGAUGAACCCAUCAGAAAGAUUAUCGUGUAUAUUCGCGUAGUUGCUGUCCGAUGUGACACGUUGUUGCAGCCUAUGCUGGUGAAAAAUCUUUCUACGUCAAGUUCAAUUGACUGUUCCUUGGUGCUGGUUUCGUGUUACCGAAGUUACAUCAUUAUUUUGUUAAAUUUUCAUCGUGACUAUGCAGUUUAUCGUUUAUAAGUUAAGAAGCAACAAAAACAAAUGUGGGGUGCUUAUGUCAAAUAAAUAAAUAAUAAACACGUUUUCGGGGUUGGGAAAGGAAAGUGUAGGAUGUUGGAGGGGAGGAGGAUAUUUCAAGUUUGGAUAAAAAAUCAGUUAAUCUAUAACUCCUCAUACAUAUCCCUACCAAUUAAACAAUCCCACAAACUUAUACCUUCCAAUUCCUCACACCCCACAAACACACACCUACCACUACCAACCCUCAAAUUCAUACCUUAAACCACAUAAACCAAUAUUAAACCUUA